ACAUAACAAACAAAAAAAUGGCAUGAACAGCAAAAUAAAUCAUGUCGUAACUGAUAAGGCUGUUUGUUUCUAGAAAUGAUGCUGCAGCAAGACAGUUCCUAAAGCCACAGAAUUUACGCCACGCAUAAGGAGAGAUGGAAUUCGCAAAGUUUUGAAGUAACGGGUGCUUUGACUUUGUCGAAAAUCGAAGUUCCCUAAUGUUCUGCUUCAUUUCUCGGUCACUUAGUCUAAGCAAAACAAUGUUGACUAAAGUCCUUAUAACUUCGGGGAGUCUUCUCGUCUUUUGCAGGACAUCUUUAAUUGUGUGAUGAAAGCUGAAAACAGAAACGUAUCAUUAUUAUCGAUGUCUGGCUGAAUUGUAAAAGAAAUUUUGCUAUGGAAUCGCAAUGUAUACCGUUCCAAGCGGCUGGUAGUGUCAUUGCCGAAUGUUGGUAAAUGUUGACGUCCAAGAUAGGACCACUUUUCUGAGAUAUUAAACCAAUUUUCAUGGAAAUAAGUAGAAAUGCUUUUUUCUAAAAAGUAAACAUUAACAAAAGUUCAUGAACUAAUUUUUUUAAAUUUUGUACCUAGCUUCAUGAGAUCUGCAAAUGCUGAAUCAAAUUCAGCCUGCGUGGUGGCGUAAAGGGCGGACCGAAACUUUUCCCUGAUGUUUUGAUUCUGCUCUUUGGAAAGACCCUUAAAAGUGGCAAGUUUGGCGUCAACCGCUUUUAAAACAUGAAAGUGACACAGAAUGUGUGUUGAUGCGGUAAAAAAUUUUGCUAAAGCAGCAAUUUCGGCACAAUCGUUGUCCGUACCUCUGAAAAAACUUUAAGGCAUGCAGAAAUUGCUUCCGUCGUUUCUUCUUUGAUAAAGAACUUCGCUACAGGCUGCCCAUCGCCAUUGUUGUCUUCUAUCAAAAGAUGUUUUCGUUGCUUCUCCAGCUGAAUGAAAAUUGCGACCACCUCUCCAUCCGCAUUGUGCAAAACUUUCACGACAUGAUUUUCGUCUUCUUGUAGGCUCAUUAGGACAUCUACAGUAUCUCUCCACUCAUUUUCCGAUUUUCCUAAUAAUUUAGAAAAGUAAAGAAUAUGUAUACACUG